rnacentral:lncRNA from 1 species
AAGUCACCUCAUUAACAUAACAAAAGGAGCAGGAAAGAGAAUCUUUCUGAUGGUACCACAUGAUUAACCUCAAGCCGAUGUUGAAACCUAAGCUGCUGGGAGAGGGGCAGGAGAGAAGAAAGUUCCCCAAACAGAGCUCAGCCUCUCGCCCAACUCUUUACUCCUCCUGAUCAGACUGAAGUGCAAUCAAAGGAAUCGGGAUUCUUGCCGAGUGUUUUCUCUUCCUUCAGAAAGAGUCUUCUCGUCCCUCUUCCAUUUCCCCAUAAUAAUUCCUCGUCUAAGCCCUCAUUGCUUGAUGUCUCCAUGCUGCAGAGCUGUCUCACCACAAGGAUCUUUGUCUUCUAUAUCCUGACACCUCUGGAAGAUCCUGAGGAAGAAAUAUGACAUGUGAG